rnacentral:rRNA from 1 species
UACGUAGGGGGCAAGCGUUGUCCGGAUUUAUUGGGCGUAAAGAGCGUGUAGGCGGCCAUACAGGUCAGCUGUGAAAACUCGAGGCUCAACCUCGAGACGUCGGUUGAAACCGUAUGGCUAGAGUCCGGAAGAGGAGAGUGGAAUUCCCGGUGUAGCGGUGAAAUGCGCAGAUAUCAGGAGGAACACCAAUGGCGAAGGCAGAUCUCUGGGCCGUAACUGACGCUGAGGAGCGAAAGCAUGGGGAGCGAACAGG